rnacentral:tRNA from 1 species
GACGGUGUUGCUCAGUGGUAAGAGCAUUGCCCCUGUCAAGGGCAGGCACCUGAGUUGCAGGUUCAAUCCCUGACCCUUGUCA